rnacentral:rRNA from 1 species
UACGGAGGAUCCGAGCGUUAUCCGGAUUUAUUGGGUUUAAAGGGAGCGUAGGCGGGUUGUUAAGUCAGUUGUGAAAGUUUGCGGCUCAACCGUAAAAUUGCAGUUGAUACUGGCAUCCUUGAGUACAGGAGAGGUAAGCGGAAUUCCUAGUGUAGCGGUGAAAUGCGUAGAUAUUAGGAGGAACACCAGUGGCGAAGGCGGCUUACUGGACUGUAACUGACGUUGAGGCUCGAAAGCAUGGGUAGCGAACAGG